rnacentral:snoRNA from 1 species
AUCCCAUGAUGAGGGCAUUCUGAUAUGUAGUCUUGAAAGUGUUCCCAUGCCUUAGGGAUAGAUUCAUCAUGUUGCUGCUGAAAGGUUGACAUCUUUGCACAUAGGGC